rnacentral:rRNA from 1 species
UUGGAGGGCAAGUCUGGUGCCAGCAGCCGCGGUAAUUCCAGCUCCAAUAGCGUAUAUUAAAGUUGUUGCAGUUAAAAAGCUCGUAGUUGAACUUCGGGAUUUACCCAUUGGUCAGGCUUAAUUGUCUGUACUGGUGAGAUGAAUCUCUACCUUCUGAGGAACUCUCAUGCCAUUUAUUUGGUGUGAUUGGAAAUCAGGACUAUUACUUUGAAAAAAUUAGAGUGUUUAAAGCAGGCUAACGUCUGAAUAUAUUAGCAUGGAAUAAUGAAAUAGGACGUUUGAUUCUAUUUUGUUGGUUUCUAGGAUUGACGUAAUGAUUAAUAGGGAUAGUUGGGGGCAUUAGUAUUCAAUUGUCAGAGGUGAAAUUCUUGGAUUUAUUGAAGACUAACUACUGCGAAAGCAUUUGCCAAGGAUGUUUUCAUUAAUCAAGAACGAAAGUUAGGGGAUCGAAGACGAUCAGAUACCGUCGCAGUCUUAACCAUAAACUAUGCCGACUAGGGAUCGGAUGAUGUUAAUUUUUUAAUGACUCAUUCGGCGCCUUACGGGAAACCAAAGUGUUUGGGUUC